UACAGAGGUCUCAAGCGUUGUUCGGAUUCAUUGGGCGUAAAGGGUGCGUAGGUGGCGCGUUAAGUCAGGUGUGAAAUUUCGGAGCUUAACUUCCGAAACUGCAUUUGAUACUGGCGUUGCUUGAGGACUGGAGAGGAGACUGGAAUUCAUGGUGUAGCAGUGAAAUGCGUAGAGAUCAAUGAGGAAGACCAGUGGCGAAGGCGGGG
rnacentral:rRNA from 1 species